rnacentral:tRNA from 1 species
GCUCCCGUCGUUCAACGGAUAGGACGCAGGCUUGCGGAGCCUGUAAUGGUGGUUCGAUUCCUCCCGGGAGCA